rnacentral:misc_RNA from 1 species
AGAGGGUGAUGAAUCAGUUGGUGAAUUCUAUUCUGUGGCAUUGACCAACAACUAUCAGCAGGCAGAUACAGGAACAAAGAUGGUACACAAAGGGAAGAAUACGAGGAGUAGGAUUAUUUCAAAGGGUAUUUCUGCAGGAAAUUCUAGAAAUUGUUACAGAGGACUAGUUCAGGUCUUAUCAAGUGCAGAGAAUGCUCGGAAUUCCUCCCAGUGUGAUUCAAUGCUCAUCGGUGAUAAAGCUGCAGCCAACACUUAUCCAUAUAUUCAGGCGAAGAACCCCUCUGCCCGGAUAGAACAUGAAGCAACAACUUCAAAGAUUGGUGAAGAUCAGUUGUUCUACUUUCAGCAGAGAGGAAUCG